GCCGGGCGUGGUGGCGCGCGCCUGUAGUCCCAGCUACUCGGGAGGCUGAGGCAGGAGGAUCGCUUGAGCCCAGGAGUUCUGGGCUGUAGUGCGCUAUGCCGAUCGGGUGUCCGCACUAAGUUCGGCAUCAAUAUGGUGACCUCCCGGGAGCGGGGGACCACCAGGUUGCCUAAGGAGGGGUGAACCGGCCCAGGUCGGAAACGGAGCAGGUCAAAACUCCCGUGCUGAUCAGUAGUGGGAUCGCGCCUGUGAAUAGUCACUGCACUCCAGCCUGGGCAACAUAGCGAGACCCCGUCUCUU
ensembl:misc_RNA Metazoa_SRP Metazoan signal recognition particle RNA